rnacentral:piRNA from 1 species
UGCUUAACAUGGGCAACGACAGGCC